rnacentral:rRNA from 1 species
GGCUUAAUGAUUUUAAUUUUAAGUCUAUCUGCCCAAUGAUUAUAAAUUAAAUGGCUGCAGUAUAAUUGACUGUACAAAGGUAGCAUAAUCAAUUGUUUUUUAAUUGAAAACUAGAAUGAAAGAAUUAAUGAGAUAUAUACUGUCUCAUAUAUAUUUAAUUAAUUUAAAUUUUUAGUAAGAAUGCUAAAAUAAAUUUAUGGGACGAUAAGACCCUAUAGAAUUUUAUAUUAAUAUAAAAAUUUAUUAUUUUUAUUUUUAUAUUAAUAUUUAGUUGGGAGGAUUGGUAAAUUUAUUGAACUUUAUUUUAAAUUUAAACUUUAAUUAAAGAAUAAAUAUAAUGAUCUUGUAAUAUAAAUUAUAAGAAUAAAUUACCUUAGGGAUAACAGCGUAAUAUCUUUAAUAAGAUCACAUUAAUAAAGAUGGUUGCGACCUCGAUGUUGAAUUAAGAUAAAUUUUAAAUGAAGAAGUUUAAUAAUUAAGUCUGUUCGACUUUUAAAAUCUU